GGGACCAUAGUUCAAUGGCAGAAUAGCGGUCUCCAAAACCGUUGAUCGAGGUUCAAAUCCUCGUGGUCCCG
rnacentral:tRNA from 1 species